CUCAAUAUCAUUAAUUAUGAAUGAUAUUCAUUCAUUUUAAACCAUAAUUUGCAGCAACAAGAAGAUGAAACCCGAAACUCCCCUUUCUCAAAUUCUUCAAAAAUUCAAUCCUCCAUAACUUCCUCGUUUCUCAACGGAAUUGGACGAUUCUUGCGGCCACGGAACGAGGAAAUGAUUAUCUACAGACCUAUGGAUUCAAUUUGAGGUGUGAAUUGAGCUUGGAAAAUGAAGGAUUGGAUGGUGAAUCUUGGUGAUUAAACUUUGGCAUGUGACAUCUUCAAGAUCGGACGAGCGACUAUCGAAAAGGUUUGAGGCAAACGGAUCGAGAUAUCGUCAUAAUUAUUUGAAGAAUUUGGAUAGCAAGUGGGAUAGUAUGAUAUGAUUUGAAGAGUCAAACUUCCGAAGUUUAAAUUCUCGGAAGUCAUUUGCACAAGAAGUAAAAGAAGGUUUUCAUUCUAGCGGUCCGCAGUAGUCUAGAUUUUUUUGUCUAUGUAUUUGUAUAACGCAUUUUCACUCUGAUGUUUUUGGUAAAAUGGGGUCACAUGUAUUUUGAUAUAUGAAAUAUGAUUUGAAAAGCGAAAAAUUUACACAGGUUUUUAGGCUUGCUACGGGUUUCGGAGCUACCACUCCCAUUCCCUAGCGCCGGUCGCGACUCAUAAAUUUGGAUCGUGACAUUUCCAUUUUUCAUCUCUGCCAUGUGGCGUUCAUCGACGAGUGUUGUUGCCAGAUGAAAGACAAGUGUCUCGUUUUCGUGACAUUUGUCAUUCAUCCGAUGUGACCCUUAGGGUUUCGUCUUCUCAUCUUCCUAACCCCAAUUUCUGGGCAUAUAUAUUCAUUUUUGCCAUUUCUUCCACUUCACUUCAGUUUUUCUUCGAAAUUUCUUGAUUUUCAAAAGGCAAUUUCUUUCUUCAGUGUGUUUCAUUCGCUUCAAGAUUACUCGUUUCAAGGUUGCUUCAUAUCUUUCGUUUGAUCUUGCGUACUUGAUUUCAAGGUACUGUGAUUUUCCUUUGAUUGUGUAUUUUGAUUUCUGGGUUUUGGUUUCUCUGUCAUCAUUGUUCUUCGUGUUCUUCAAGUUAAUUUUCCAGUUUUUUUCUUGCUUUUAUCUUUUAAAUUUGAAAUUCUUUAUUCCUCCUUGUUUCCUCCCAUUUUAAUUUAAAAUGUCAGAGGUAGGCGAAGGGUCUCGGGGUGCUCGUGAUGAUCUAGAGCACACCCGAAGUUCUUUAUCUGUUGAAUAGAUAACAGAAUUUGCCGAAGAAUUUGAUUUUCCCGAGUCUUUUGUAAUUAUAAAGUCUGGAUCAAAGUGUCGGGCGAAUCAUAGUACUGAUUCAGCCAUUAAAAUCGUUGUCUUUCAUGAACAGUAUGUAGUUGGUUUGUGUUUUCCUCUUGAGUCUUUGUUUGUAGACAUUUGUACAAAUUUAAGUAUUCCCCUUGGUCAUUCGCAUUAUCUGCCCCUUCAUCGAGUCCUGUAGGUCUCGUAGUCAGGAGCAUUCAGUAAGUUUAUUUAACUAUUUUUAUACUUUCUCCUGUCGAAAGGACGAGGAGUUUAUGUUUGCUGGUGGUCGACCGAAUCGAUCUCCUUUUAUUCUUCCUUCCCCUUUGAAAGGUUGGACUCCGAAGUUUUUUCUUGUUCAACAUUCUUCUUUUUCUUUUUUGUCGCGGAGUUUUACUUAAAAUAAAGUUUCCC